UACGGAGGGGGGCAAGCGUUGUUCGGAAUUACUGGGCGUAAAGGGCGCGCAGGCGGCUGCUCAAGUCAGGCGUGAAAGGCCUGGGCUCAACCCGGGAAUUGCGCUUGAGACUGGGCUGGCUUGAGUGCGGGAGAGGAUGGUGGAAUUCCCAGUGUAGAGGUGAAAUUCGUAGAUAUUGGGGAAGAACACCGGUGGCGAAGGCGGCCAUCCUGGACCGCAAGUGUACGCUGAGGCGCGAAAGCGUGGGGGAGCAAACAGG
rnacentral:rRNA from 1 species